AGACCCGAAACCCGGUGAUCUAGCCAUGGGCAGGUUGAAGGUUGGGUAACACUAACUGGAGGACCGAACCGACUAAUGUUGAAAAAUUAGCGGAUGACCUGUGGCUGGGGGUGAAAGGCCAAUCAAACCGGGAGAUAGCUGGUUCUCCCCGAAAGCUAUUUAGGUAGCGCCUCGUGAAUUCAUCUCCGGGGGUAGAGCACUGUUUCGGCUAGGGGGCCAUCCCGGCUUACCAACCCGAUGCAAACUGCGAAUACCGGAGAAUGUUAUCACGGGAGACACACGGCGGGUGCUAACGUCCGUCGUGAAGAGGGAAACAACCCAGACCGCCAGCUAAGGUCCCAAAGUCAUGGUUAAGUGGGAAACGAUGUGGGAAGGCCCAGACAGCCAGGAUGUUGGCUUAGAAGCAGCCAUCAUUUAAAGAAAGCGUAAUAGCUCACUGGUCGAGUCGGCCUGCGCGGAAGAUGUAACGGGGCUAAACCAUGCACCGAAGCUGCGGCAGCGACACUAUGUGUUGUUGGGUAGGGGAGCGUUCUGUAAGCCUGUGAAGGUGUGUCGUGAGGCAUGCUGGAGGUAUCAGAAGUGCGAAUGCUGACAUAAGUAACGAUAAAGCGGGUGAAAAGCCCGCUCGCCGGAAGACCAAGGGUUCCUGUCCAACGUUAAUCGGGGCAGGGUGAGUCGACCCCUAAGGCGAGGCCGAAAGGCGUAGUCGAUGGGAAACGGGUUAAUAUUCCCGUACUUGGUGUUACUGCGAAGGGGGGACGGAGAAGGCUAUGUUGGCCGGGCGACGGUUGUCCCGGUUUAAGCGUGUAGGUGUGUGUUCCAGGUAAAUCCGGUUCACUUUAACACUGAGGCGUGACGACGAGGCACUACGGUGCUGAAGCAACAAAUGCCCUGCUUCCAGGAAAAGCCUCUAAGCAUCAGGUAACAUCAAAUCGUACCCCAAACCGACACAGGUGGUCAGGUAGAGAAUACCAAGGCGCUUGAGAGAACUCGGGUGAAGGAACUAGGCAAAAUGGUGCCGUAACUUCGGGAGAAGGCACGCUGACACGUAGGUGAAGUGAUUUACUCACGGAGCUGAAGUCAGUCGAAGAUACCAGCUGGCUGCAACUGUUUAUUAAAAACACAGCACUGUGCAAACACGAAAGUGGACGUAUACGGUGUGACGCCUGCCCGGUGCCGGAAGGUUAAUUGAUGGGGUCAGCGCAAGCGAAGCUCCUGAUCGAAGCCCCGGUAAACGGCGGCCGUAACUAUAACGGUCCUAAGGUAGCGAAAUUCCUUGUCGGGUAAGUUCCGACCUGCACGAAUGGCGUAAUGAUGGCCAGGCUGUCUCCACCCGAGACUCAGUGAAAUUGAACUCGCUGUGAAGAUGCAGUGUACCCGCGGCAAGACGGAAAGACCCCGUGAACCUUUACUAUAGCUUGACACUGAACAUUGAGCCUUGAUGUGUAG
rnacentral:rRNA from 1 species